CAAGGACAAAAGACAAAACGCUUUCAAAGCGCGCCAUUCAUCCCAUUCUUGCUGCCUUUGGUAAUGUCAGUCCUGUACAGUAUGUACUUCUAG